rnacentral:rRNA from 1 species
CGCUGUUAUCCCUAAGGUAAUUUAGUCUUUUAAUCACUAAAAAUGGAUCAAAAAUAUAUAAAUAAAUAUAAAAAAAUAAAAAGAGUUAUUUUAAUCUUCCUAUCACCCCAACAAAAUUUACACAACAUUAAAUUUUUACCCACAAAAAAUAUUUAAAUAAAUCAAACUCUAUAGGGUCUUCUCGUCCCAAAAAAAUAUUUAGGCAUUUUAACCUAAAAUUUAAAUUCAACAUAAUAAAAAUCAAAGACAGUAAUUACCUCGUCAAACCAUUCAUUCCAGCCUACAAUUAAAAGACUAAUGAUUAUGCUACCUUUGCACGGUCAAAAUACCGCGGCCCUUCAAAUAAUCAGCGGGCAGGUCAUACAUCAUAUUAACAACAAAAAGAGAUGUUUUUGUUAAACAGGCG